GCCUUAUUACUCUCAUUUGAAACCUUUUGCAGGCCGAGCGGCAAUGUGGGCGUGGCUUGGAGACUGCGUCACGCUGCCUGUCUUCAGCAGGCGAGUGAAAGGUUGGAAGAUGGCGGCGUGAGGUGUUGGAGAGGCCCCGCUGGGCCCCGGGAAAUCGGGGCCAAUGAACUCGUAAACUGGGCCACUGUUCUACCCUCCCUGCACGAGAAGAAGAGCAGCAGCAGCACGAUACAAAUCCUACAUGGAUAAUCCCAGAGCUCCCGCAUGCUCCUGGCCCAGACGUUGAUUGAUCCUGCAGAUGCUUGCUGCAGUGUCUUGAAGGUCAGGGGAAGAUCAGAUGACUCGGGGGCCCCGCACAAUACUCUGGUACCUGCUUAUUAAAUGAGUUAUGAAGCCCUUCCUUGUUGGAUUUGGGACGUGGCCCCUUGUUAAAUUUGACCUGUUAUAAUGAGAUCUUGAACCUGAAAGCCAAGAAUUCUGUACCAAAUGAAAUGUGCAGCUUUACCAGUGAACGCACGGGUGUCUCAUGCCAAUUACAAUCCCACAUUUUUGGGGUUUUUUUCUCAGUCAUUUUUGCUUUUCUCAUUGAGGAAUGCAGAUAUGAACACUGUUUAUUUCAACAAAUCCAUGAAUCUAAAGGCUUAAUCAUUUGCGGUGUUGUUUCUCGAUUCUGUCAUCCUUAAAGAGAAGCAGCUGUAUUGGGAAAGAAAGGCCCUGAUGUCUGACAGUUUGUCAUUAAAGGAACGGAGAGAAAAUGCAAGCGUUUACUUAAAUCAGAUGGACUAUGAGACCUUCCAUUUAUACUCAAUUUCACAAAUCUUUUUUUUUUUUCUCAGUUUCUCGAUCUUUCUUAACCAUGAGAUCUGGACGGCACAGACUUGCAACGUUUCCACUUUUAUAUGAAGGUAAUAUAUUUAGGACAGUGCAGUUGCGUGUUUUUCUACAUCCGAGACCUCAAAUGAAACAAAAUCCAUCAUGGCCGUUUACUGAUGCAUCUUGUGAUCUCUCAUGAAGAUGGAAAGAGAAGUACUUUUCAUCGAGCGUUGGGAAGACUUGUACAAAAGCAAAUGAGCCAAAAUACGGCCCCUAAAAAAUGUGUAUUUUUACUCCUUACCGGAGACAAAAAACCAAAAAGAAAACAGCUUUUUGAUUUUAAACUUUGAGUUUUUUUGUACUUCAGAUUCAUCUUUGCAUAUUGGGUAUGUAUUAAAUAGGAGCUGAGA